CUUUAGGUGCUGUGGAUGCCCCUGAAACAAGGCCUCAGACUUGGCUUGGACUAUGGGUUCCAUCCAUAGGGUUGGCCUCAUUGAUCAGCGUUACAGGAAGGCUUCGAGGUGGCUCCCUGUGACCGUGUUGUGAGCAAACCAUUCCUGGCAUCCCACCUUGCAGAACUUGUGGAGAAGAAACAAAAAUAACCCAUAAUCCCACUGUUUUGAUGCCACUUACUGAUAUUUGAAAAGAGGUAAAAAUAAAAUAUGAAGACAGAAAAUCCCAUCAUGUAUCCAAAGGCAUGAAUGAAAAGAAAGAGCCUUCUACCAGGACCUCCUGCACCACCCAAGAGUGCCAUUUUCUCAGGGGCUGAGAAGAGCCCCUCCAACAGGGCAGUGACCCGCUUGCCACAACCCACCUUGGCAAAAGCAGUGGAUAUGCCCCAGGACUCCAGGAAGCAGUGUGGCCUCAGAGAGCUUGGUGAGAAAUGUGUGUGGGAAGCAAAGGGCAGCUGAUGACUCACUGCAUGCCCUUAACUCAGUCUCUUCGACUCCUGAAGCCUCAGUUUCCCCACCUGGGGUAUGGUGAUAAUCACCCACUCAGCCACGAUGCUGGGGAGUGCUAACAGUGCCUCCUGCAGCCACCUCCCAGAUAAACCACCAGUACUCCCAUCCUUGUUGGAGGGCCUGUUUUUAGGAAAACCCUGACUAAGGCAGGAAGCUCCCCGCACUGCAGCAGAGGGAGUCAGGAUGCUGAGCUCUGGGUGCCCCAGCUGUCUGGCUCACCAGCCAUGAGAUGCCAGGGAAUAAGGGAACCCGAGGAGAAGGAGAGAGAUGAGGGACCAGCUCCUCGGUGGAGGACGCAGAAUACACACAUUUAUUGAUGAGGUUUGCCAUCUUUUAUGGGCACAGUUUGUGGCACCACAAAACAAUUACAAUGGUGACUUUGAAGAUUAUUGAUCACAGAUCACCAUAACAGAUAUAAUGAUGAAAAGGUUUGAAAUAUUGUGAAAAUUAUCAGAAUAUAACAACAAGACAC
ensembl:lncRNA lincRNA